ACUUGAUAAAAGUUUCAGUGAGAAACUUUACAUUCAGCGCGGAUCUGCCCCCCAGUCAUUCAGCAGCAUGUCUUCGUUCAACAAGUGGUGGAUUUGUUGCGCCGUCGCUCUCUCCUGCCUCCUCCGUUUCGGGUCUUGUAGAGCAGAUAGAGCACCACCGCCACUACCUGAGCUCUUCAUCUUCAGUGAGCAGUGUGCCCUGAAGGAAGAACCCGGGCCAUGCAAGGCCAUCAAGGACAGAUUCUUCUUCGACGUCAACACCGGAAGCUGUCAGCACUUCGAAUACGGAGGCUGUGGAGGCAACGCCAACAACUUUGAGACCUUGGAGCAGUGUGAGGAAACGUGUGUGGUUACAGUUGACAAGAACCCGUGUCAUCUGCCAGAAGCUCCGGGUCCCUGCAGAGGCCUGGUAAAACGCUACUUCUUCCACAGCGGGAGCCAGCAGUGCAAGCACUUCUUUUACGGCGGCUGCUUUGGCAACGCCAACAAUUUCAGGAGCUUGGCCGAGUGUCAGGCGAAAUGUCUGAAUGCAGGAAAAACAACUGCAGCACCUGAAGUCCGCACACAGUCUGCAAGAAAAGCUACUGUGCAGCCAACCAUAUUAACUGGGGAACUGACUGUGAAUGAGCCUCAGGUGCAACUGAAUGUCUCUAGUCAAGAUAAACCAGAGUGGUGCUUCAGUCCUGUGGAAGUUGGAACAUGUGACAGGACGGAGCGGAGGUUCGCAUACAACCCGAGCACCAAGAGAUGCCAGAUGUUUACCUACAGUGGCUGCGGAGGAAACAAGAACAACUUCAAAUCCCGAAAACACUGCGUUCACAAGUGCAAGGGUACGAGUAUCUAAAGACGUCACCUCCAAAGCCCCCGUUCCCUGUUGGAAAAAGAAAACGUAUGAUUGUUUAAUCAGACUCAUGGGAAGAUGAUCCGAAUAAAGAAGAAGAACCUCGGCAGCCUUCUUAACCGCUUGGUCUGAACACGAGAUGCUUCUCUGCCUCACAGUCGUCUGUAUUUAUGUCGAUAGUUUCUCUCUAGCUUUCCUCAUGUCUCCUGUUUCAUAGGGCUGCAGGACAUCGCAAGUCAAGUCUGACACAAUCUGUGUCUUAAUUUUCCUUCACAAUACGUUGAACUGACGUUCAGUGGCAGAAAAAGAAAUUAUAUUGAAACAUCUGGUUGUUCUGGUGCACCACGCUAAGCUGCACUGUACAAAACCUGGCAUUUCACAAGCAAAUACACAUGCAUGCGUGUUUAAAAUAAAUAUGCAAAUGACGAGUUAAAUUUGAAUAACAGAAAAAGUUUCAAAAUUCUUGUUUCAUUUUGUUAACGUAUUAGAUUUCCAGAGGGGAUUUUCCCUUUUUUUCGAAGUAAAAUGUUCUAUAUAUCAGGCUCUGAAUGAUACAUUAUGAAUCCUCUCUUAAAUACCUGCAGAAUGUGGUUAGGAAUAAAUCUGGAAGGUUUGGUUUGUGUAAGAGCUACUGAAGAGGAGAUCUCUGGGUCAGAGUAGCAGAAACUCAUUUUGAGAACACAGUAAAGUUUUACACAGUUACACAUUGUAAAAUAUUUUGACUGGAAAACACUAUGAACCGAAACCAAAUCUACUCAAAUCCUUCAAAACACGUCAUAUAAUCAUAUAACAAAAUCAAAUUCAAAAAUAACAGAUUAACUGUUCAGUAAACAUGAACGAUGAUCCACUGAUCGUCUCCUUUUACCAAAGACAGUUCACAGCCAGAUGAACUCAGAGGAGUCUGACUUAAACACACAUGCAUGUUUAAAAUGAGACCAGAUGAGGAUGAGUCUCUGCCUUCAUGGCCACAUUCAUCAUCAUGUAUGACGAGGAGUCAAAGAUCAAAUCGACCCAAAGGUAGAGGACAUGAAACGAUCAGCAUCAUAUUCUGGCUCUUAAUACUGUAAGUCACCUCAUAAGUAAUGUCUAAAGACCUGAGUGUAAGAAGAGAAGAAAGUAAUGUUUGGGAAGAUAAGUGCUAACAGCUUAUCUCAAAGAAGAACAACUCCAGGAAGGUUUGAAUUUGUCUUCCUUCAUGUUUUCAUCUAACUCCGUGGAUUAUGGAGUUUUCAGUUUCUAUCUACUCCAGAGAUCAGGAACGGGAACAUUUGAACCCCAGAUGCCAACUUCAGUUAAUGACUUUCUAAAUUGCUUGUGAAAGUGCAGGUGAGGAACGUUGUCUGUCUCCUGAUGCCUGAUGUUCUCAGGACGACUUGUUGUGAAGAAACGCUGUAAAUUGAGGCUCGUGUUGUGUGAGAUGUCGGUCCUUGUGUAGAAAAUAUUUUUCAUGUAUCUGAAAUAACGUUGUUUCUAACUCGAUCAUUGUGCUGCAUGUGUUGUUUCGAUAUCUCACAGACAAAAAGCACAUUUGUUUUGCCAGUGUCUAACACAGCAGCUCUCUGCAGUGAUCAUUUUUAUGUCACUUACUUUGUACACAUAUAUUUUAUCUUUUUUUCAUUUUACUCUUUCCCUGCAAUACUCUGUGAAAUGAAUGCUUUUACGGUGACUGGUGAUUUACUACUAUAGUUUUUAAUCAAUAUGAGCGUCAGCAGAUUAAAUCAAUCAUUAUUCUAGUAUUAAUGACAACAAUUAGCCUAUAAGCAAAGGUACAGCUGUGAAUCUAUUUUACAGUUUUUGGGGGUCGAUAUUGUGCGGUUCAAUAAAUGUAAAGUCUUUUCAGUUUUACUGUUGGUGGAAAAAAACACACACAAGGGGGCGGUGUUGCAUAAAGAUUGUGUUCCUCUUGGCUGUGUUUGCUUUGCUGUCUCGUUUUAUAAUCAUGGCUGUAAUGGAUUGGACUGUAAAGGUUUAUGUAAUAAAAUUCAACAACAUCAUUUUA